GCAGAGUAGAAUGAUGUGCGUUAAGUGCCGCGUGAACGGGGAGGUGUCAUGCGGACGAAGAUAAAUGCAUAUGCAUAAUGUCACGGUACAUGGUUCGCAUCCCACUGC
rnacentral:ncRNA from 1 species